CUGUAGGUACAUAAACUGGCACAGGCUAGCUAUCUUCUAAUAGCCUUUUUGAAUGCAUGUCAACGCCAGACCCAACGUGCAAUGUGGCAAAUGAGAAUUGUGGUAAUAUAUUGGAGAGGUGGAGGACAUUUGUGGGACCUACGGAUCCUGCCACAUACCACAGACAACAUCUGUGUCUGUUGAUGUAGGCUCACACAUGCUGUUUUGUUCGUCAUGUUCAAGUGCGGAAAAUCAGCUGACAGUAGUGUAAGAAAGCUCCGGAGAUUGUACGUUCACCGCUAGAUUAAGAAAAAAAGUUGUUCGGUGGAUGUAAGGGAGGUUGCGCUUCCGCAAGCAAAUGCCCAUGACUUUGUUCGCAGUGUCAGUUGAAAUGAUCGUAUUGUGAAGUAGCUACGGAACGUAUUGAUGAAAAAAUAUUCAUCAAAGCUCGAUAAAUUUCAUUGUAAAAACACAAUAGUUUAUAUGUUCCAAAUUAAUCAUGGCCAAAAAUUUCACCGAGCCAUCUGCGGUGAUGCGUUCGAUUGAGAUUCAUACUGCCAAGAUGUGUCGGGUUUGCUUGCAAAGGCACCACUUGGUGGCCAUUGCGCGGAAUCCUCGACUCGCUUGGUGUUUCUCCAGAAUCCUUCCAAGCGAUCCCGAUCUGCCGCAAUUCGUCUGUGCGACCUGCGAACGGAUGGUCGACAUUCUCUACCAGUUCGAUGUGCUAGGAAAUUUGACGGCGAAUCUGGUUCGGACGUACGUCACCGAUGGAGGGAGGUUCCCUCAGACGGGCAUGAUCGAAGAGGAACUACAGCGGGCCGAGGAGCGUCUGCAGAGAACAGCUUCUUCAAAAAAA